rnacentral:lncRNA from 1 species
AGGAGCCAGAACCUUAACCCUAGCCACCGCCUCCUCCGUGCGCCGACACGGCACCGUCGCGCCGGACGCGGCGCCCUCUUCUCCUCCAACCUCCCUCCUACCCUUAUAACCUAAGGCAGAGGGCUGGUAGAACCCUAGUUUCUACCAUUACCUGAUUCCAGAUUUCUCAAAGGAGAACACCAUGCCAUCCAUGGCGAGAAGCUUCCUCCUUCCCCGGCCCAGCUUUUGUGAUGUUUUUCUUGUCAAGUGCCCAAACACGACCGUGCACCACUUAAUGGUCAUCACUGCCCCUGAAUGGGCCUGAUACGUGCAUUUUGCAUCACGCUUUUAUGUUGAUAUUUAUCGAUUUAUGGGCUGUUAUUACACUUCACAGUACAUUACUUAUGCCUUUCUCUCUCUUAUUUUAUAAGGUUUAUAUGAAGAGGGAGAAUGCGACAGCUGGAAUUCUGGUCUGAAAAAGGAGCAAGUUUGAGAUACCUAUUCUGCGCAACUCCAAAAGCCGUGAAAAUCAAC